GUGGGAAGUUGCAUUUCACAAGCCUCUCACGACACUGCUGCCAUUAUGCAUGCCAAUAAAACCAGGGCAUAGGCCCUUGGAGGUUUCUAUGAAUGGGACGACACGAAAAAAAAAAACCCAAACCCAAAACUGCAAGUGCAACUGCUUGAAUAGUUUUAGCGACUGAAACGUCCAAGAAACUGAGUCCAAGUGCCCUCUACUGGCAUGGGAGCGAAAGAUUUACUGAAGAGACCAUGUCAAGAAUGGCGAGUCACACAGCAUUCACAAAACACAAAGGCGCUGGGGAAGUGAAGCCCAGCACAGGAGAGCUGGACGGAGAUGGGAUUCAGCUGCCGCAUGAGGAAGCAACUUGGGGAAGUGACAAUUUUGUCUGUUUUUCUGCCAGGAAGGCAGGGGAGGAGACUGUACAGAGCAGUCUGAAUAGAACUGGAUGGGAUUGCAAUUACUCACUGGAAGAUUGAUGCGAUGAUUGCAAAUCUGUGUAUGGUGUCCUUUUUCCCCUGCUAUGUCCAGAAUCAGUUUCAGAAAUGUCACAUGCUAAGUAAUUCAGUAAGCAGCUGCAAUAUUUAUCAUGCUGGGAGAGGAUGAGCGCCACUCAAGAUUUGCAGCUUUGCAUCUGUUCUGCACUCUGCGAUUCUAGUAAAUUGAGUUUAGGUAAUCCUGAUGUAUAUCCAUUUAAUUACAGUAAAAGCAAGUCAAUUUUUGACAUCUAAAUUAUCCUGGCACAUGUUGAAACCUACCAGAAAUGGUGACAAGACCUUGUGUGAAAUCAGGUUCAUGCACUAUACUUUUUCUUAAAAACCAUGUAUUUGUUAGACUGGAACUUGAGGUGAGGAUCACCUCAAGUUCCCAGUAGUCACCACCAGAUCAGCCACACAGUAUCAGCCUAAAAAAAAGCUUAAAGUCUUGGUCACCUUUCUAGUAUAAAAAUAAAUAAAUACAAAAAUUCUCCUGCUAGCCAGUUAGCUUAGGGUCUUUUUCUGUAUGAAACACAUGUUGAUAUUUGAU